rnacentral:lncRNA from 1 species
AAGAAUUUAAUUAUUAGACCACCAUGUCAAUUGUAUUUAAGCUAAAAUUACAGAGCUGGCAAAUUUGCUCAUGGAAUAGCAUGAGUAUUAAUGAUGAAGCCUUGUUUAUUUUUUUCUAAUAAAGUUGUGAGAACUGAUCUUUCUCAGCCCUGAUAACCUCUACCAUCAUAGAAGUUAUUGAUCGUUGUUGGCUAGUGUCAUACUAGCAAAAUUCAAUACAUAAAGGUAUUAGGGAGGAUUAAUAUCUAUUGAUGAGAUGCUACUAUUUGUGAUAAAUCUUUUCUUUAUUACCACCUUCUUGUAUCCUAAUAGGUUCUUCUGUUGACAUUCUUUUUCCUCUAGAUUUUAUGUUUUGUUCUAUCUGUUCCUCAAGGUUUAUUCUGAAUACUGUUAGGGUAUUUACCCUAAUUAUCUUACUACAUUUAUGUUUUAUUUUUUCUUAGAAAGAAAAUAAAAGUUACCAUAAUUACUUUUACUUUUCCUGAAAGAAAAAAAUAUAAUUCUUUUCCAUAUUUGGCUAACUCUUUCUUGGAGGAAAGGUUUUGUACAUCUAUAAAUAGAAGACCCCCUUCUCAUACCAUAACACAAUAGCAUCCAUAAUGUAGUCAUUAAAGAGUCUUUGUUUAGGGGGAGAUUUCGCCCAAUAGGUUUAAUAUUUUUCGAUAUUAGGUUUUAUAAUAUGUAGGCCGAUUGGCCAAAAUAUAUAAUAAUUUAAUGAUUUUUAGUAUGUUUUUCUUUGUCGUUUGAUUUAUCGUCUUAUGAUUUGCAAACUUUAAGCUUCCGCAUGACGCCCUCUCGAUUUCGAACCCAACAAGUGGUAUCAGAGCUUACGGUUCAAUGGUCCAAUGGUGUGAUGAGACGAGAUUAAACAGGUUCAAAGCGGUUUCAACAUCAAACUGCAACAAUUUGGGCAAUAAUGAAGAUUUUUGUCGAACUACAUGUGGAGAACAAGUUUCAACCAUAUUUUCAACACGCCUGCUGAUGCAUCUUUAAAAAUAAAAAUAAAUAUUACUUUUAAACUAAUUUUUAACCAUGAUAUUUUAAACCUUAUUUUUAACCAUGACAAGCAACAGUUAUGAAGAUUAUAUCAAGAACGAAGUUCAUGCACGUGAUAUGAAGAGAAGACGGAUCAAGUGAAGAAAAUCCAGCCAAAAGGGGGAGAUUUAUUAGGGUUUUUGCCCUAAUUUUCUUACUAUAUUUAUGUUUUAUUUUUUCUUAGAAGGAAAAUAAAAGUUACCAUAAUUACUUUUACUUUUCCUGAAAGAAAAAAACAUAAUUCUUUUCCAUAUUUGGCUAACCUCUUUCUUAGAGGAAAGGUUUGUACAUCUAUAAAUAGAAGACCCCCUUCUCAUACCAUAACACAAUAGCAUCCANNNNNNNNNNNNNNNNNNNNNNNNNNNNNNNNNNNNNNNNNNNNNNNNNNNNNNNNNNNNGGUUUAAUAUUUUUCGAUAUUAGGUUUUAUAAUAUGUAGGCCGAUUGACCAAAAUAUAUAAUAAUUUACUGAUUUUUAGUAUGUUUUUCUUUGUCGUCUGAUUUAUCGUCUUAUGAUUUGCAAACUUUUUAU